GACGAACGCUGGCGGCGUGCUUAACACAUGCAAGUCGAACGAAGUGGCGAACGGGUGAGUAAUACGUGGGUAACCUGCCCUCCUUUUUGGGAUAAGCCUUGGAAACGAGGUCUAAUACCGAAUAAAGGGGGAUGGGCUCGCGGCCUAUCAGCUUGUUGGUGGGGUGAUGGCCUACCAAGGCGGUGACGGGUUGCCGGCCUGAGAGGGGGACCGGCCACAUUGGGACUGAGAUAAGGCCCAGACUCCUACGGGAGGCAGCAGUGGGGGAUAUUUCAAAAUGGGCGAAAGCCUGAUGGAGCGAAGCCGCGGGGUUGAAGAAGGUUCUCGGGGCUUAAAACUCUGUUCAAAGGGAACCCGUAUCUAACCAGAAAGCCACGGCUAACUACGGUCCAGCAGCCGCGGUAAUAC
rnacentral:rRNA from 1 species